GCCACCUUCUCAUCUCCAUAACCACCCAACCACGCACCACCUUCGGCCAACCUGACUGGCCAAGCCCUCGCCGCCACCCCAGCGACCCAACCCUACGCCAGCCGCCGUAUGAAGCGCCGGAUUCCGCCGAAACCAGCCGCAGAAUAUCGCGUCAGUUUUGACAGAUUUUCUAACCUCUUGGUCUCCCUCCUCCGACCACCAAAUCAAGCGAGUGAGGUAUGGAUUUCUAACUAUUUUCCACGAUCUAGCUUAUGGUUAGGUAGGUUUUCAGAGAUUUUAAGUUUUGAUAGGUUAAUUGUCGAGUUGAGUUUCUGCCGGUUUUGAGAGCUCAGUUUCAGCCACGUCCAGCCACUUUUUGGCCAUAGUCCAAGAACAAAAGUGGUUCCAAAUUAGGUGUUUUACCUCGGAUAGGUGUUUGGGCUCGUGGUUUGGAGAUUUUCCGACCACUGGAAUUUUCUUUACACACCCAUGCGCUGCCGGCACGUGGGCAGCGCAUGGGCCAGGUAGCAGGGACCACCCUUGGUCCCAGAAUGAUCCUCGUGUCCUCAUGAGCGCGUAGAAAUUCACGGAUCUCAAUUCGGAUAACGUUUGGACCCCAAACGGAUCUCGCAUAGUGUGUGAUUUCCAAGUUCAAAGCGUUCAGACCGUAGGAUCGUAGUCAAACUGGAGUAUGUGGUUCUAGGUAAUUUCAGGAUCGUGUAGGAUUCGACGUAUCGUCAAUCGGAGUCCUGGGUACUCCGAAAAGGCCAACCCUAGGGCUAGGAUUACAGAAAAUCGUUCAUCCGUCCGAUCGUGCGAUCGUGAGUAAUCCGACCUUCCGAUUGAGACCAAACUCUCAGGACAUGUGUCCUAGGCAUAGUGGGACCUCUAGGAACGAUCGGAUCAGAAUUCUGAGGUCGUGGACCCCACGGGGUCCCGAGUUGACUUUUUGGGACUUUAUCGCUUUUGAAUCCCGAGUUACUACUAAAUCAUGUCCAUUGAGAGGAAAGUUAAUGCGAGCAUAGGAAUGACCUUUAAAAGAUAUGCACGCACUGUUAGGAGCUGGGGGUCAGGGUUUUUAUCUUAAUAUUAUAUUAUUGAGCAGAGUUAUUAAUAAAGAGUAUGAUGGUUAUUCAGGCAUCCGGGCACAAGGUGACCCACAGGAGGGACCUUCAAAAGGGUCCAGCUAGCUCAAAGCAUCUGCAGUGGUCGUGCGUCAGUGCGCCACAACCGGGCCGAGACCUUCUUCCGCUACGUCUUUUGCCAAUGUAGGGUUUUGUUUAGUUGUGAUAAUUUGUAAUCUACUCUGUAUAGAUGCUCUGUUAUUGCCCUAUAACACUUGUCUAACUGUUGGUAUGUAAUUAGUUGUAUGCU